rnacentral:rRNA from 1 species
AUUGAACGCUGGCGGCAUGCCUUACACAUGCAAGUCGAACGGUAACGCGGGGCAACCUGGCGACGAGUGGCGAACGGGUGAGUAAUGCAUCGGAACGUGCCUGGUAGUGGGGGAUAACUGCUCGAAAGAGCAGCUAAUACCGCAUACGACCUGAGGGUGAAAGGGGGGGAUCGCAAGACCUCUCGCUAUCAGAGCGGCCGAUGACGGAUUAGCUAGUUGGUGGGGUAAAGGCCCACCAAGGCGACGAUCCGUAGCUGGUCUGAGAGGACGACCAGCCACACUGGGACUGAGACACGGCCCAGACUCCUACGGGAGGCAGCAGUGGGGAAUUUUGGACAAUGGACGCAAGGCUGAUCCAGCCAUGCCGCGUGCGGGAAGAAGGCCUUCGGGUUGUAAACCGCUUUUGUCAGGGAAGAAAUCUUCUGGACUAAUACUCUGGGAGGAUGACGGUACCUGAAGAAUAAGCACCGGCUAACUACGUGCCAGCAGCCGCGGUAAGAC